GAUGAACGCUGACAGAAUGCUUAACACAUCAGCAAUUGAUUGGUGGCGGACGGGUGAGUAACGCGUAAAGAACUUACCUCACAGUUAGGGACAACAUUUGGAAACGAAUGCUAAUACUUACUCCUGUGAGAGAGCUUUGCGUCCCAUUAGCUAGUUGGAGAGGUAACGGCUCACCAAGGCGAGGAUGGGUAGCCGGCCUGAGAGGGUGAUCGGCCACAAAGGGACUGAGACACGGGCAUUACUCCUUCGGGAAGAAGCGGUGGGGAAUAUUGGACAAUGGGCCGAAGUCUGAUCCAGGAAUUCUGGGUGCAAGAUGAAGUUUUCGGAAUGUAAAGUGCUUUGAGUUGGGAAGCGGUACCAACAGAAGAAGUGACGGCUAAAUACGUGCCAGCAGCCGCGGUAAUUC
rnacentral:rRNA from 1 species